rfam:Brugia malayi, FR3, WGS project CAPY01000000 data, contig: ctg1511341
AUUGGUUAUGGUGAUAUGACACCACAUACAUAUUUGGGACGUAUUAUUGGUUCAGUAUGUGCAGUUGCUGGUGUUCUAACUAUUGCGUUACCUGUUCCUGUAAACAUUUCAACU